GGCAGACUACAGGAUUCCCCUAGUAACGGCGAGUGAAGCGGGAAGAGCUCAAAUUUGAAAGCUGGUACCUUUGGUGCCCGCGUUGUAAUCUCGAGACGCGUUUUCCGCGCGGCGCUAUGGACAAGUUCCUUGGAACAGGACAUCGUAGAGGGUGAAAAUCCCGUACUUGCCAUGGAUGCACCGUGCUUUGUGAUACGUGCUCAAAGAGUCGAGUUGUUUGGGAUUGCAGCUCAAAAUGGGUGGUAGACUCCAUCUAAAGCUAAAUAUCGGGGAGAGACCGAUAGCGAACAAGUACCGUGAGGGAAAGAUGAAAAGCACUUUGGAAAGAGAGUUAAAAGUACGUGAAAUUGUCGAAAGGGAAGCGCUUGAAGUCAGCCAUGCCGCUCAGGACUCAGCCUGGCUUUUGCUUGGUGUACUUCCUGGGUAGCAAGUCAGCAUUGGUUUGGACCGUCGGAGAAGCAUGGCAGGAAUGUGACGCCCUCGGGCGUGUUAUAGCCUGCCAUUGGAUACGCCGGUCUAGACCAAGGAACGCAGUGCGCCUUACGGCGGGUCUUCGGACACCUUCGCACUUAGGAUGCUGGCGUAAUGGCUUUAAGCGGCCCGUCUUGAAACACGGACCAAGGAGUCUAACAUAUGUGCGAGUUUUUGGGUGGCAAACCCAUGAGCGUAAUGAAAGUGAAUGCAGGUGGGAUCCGCAAGGAGCACCAUCGACCGGCCGUGAUCUUCUGGGAUCGGUC
rnacentral:rRNA from 1 species